AUGCUGCUCUCACAGUACACACCUUGUUCUCACACAGCGAAAAAUACAUCAUGGACCAAAGAGGAAACUGACAACACACAGACAGACAAGACAGAGAAGGUUACUUCUGGUAUGAAACAAGGUUUCUGGAAUUGUUUCUUACAAACACACAGCUUUUCACUUCACAAGAUAUUAACUGAUGGACUGGAGUGGUGUGGAUUACAUGUGGAUUAUUGUGAUGUUUUUAUCAGCUGUUUGGACUCUCAUUCUGAUGGCACCCAUUCACUGCAGAGCAUCCACUGGGAGGAACUUGUCAGCAAAUCUACUUCACAGCACAUAAGUGAAAACAGUUGACAGUUACAGACGGUUGUGUUGGAUCAGGGUCAGAUCUGAAUUCUGAAGGUUUUCUGGGAUGACAGUUGAAGAGAUCAGCACAUCAGAUGUUGGUCUGGACAGCUGUACCUACAGUACACCACACUGACCUCUCUGCUUUUGCAUGGAUGUGUGACUACUACCAUGUUCUGUGAAGGUAUUAUUAUAGCAAACCUGAGCACCUGUGACAGUGGAAUAGUUGCAAUGAAUAGUCACACAUAUUGGUAAAUUUGAAGUCACAGAUACAUUUUUUUAGUACUAGCAAUAUUUUUAUUUUUAAUUUUUUACUAAUUCUCUCUAGCAAACACAACACAACAGUUACACCAUUUCAAAUUCUGAGGAGCACAAAUCCUAUUCUACAAAUAAGAGAACAACAGUAUACAAGUGCUUAGUUUAGCCCCUUUCACACUGAGAUUACGUAUAAUACACGGGUAAUGUAUCCUGGCAGUUGUUCCCGGAUCGUUAGAUUUUGGUUCAUUCACACUGCCAGUGAUUUUCCGGAAUCUGUGUGUGCGUUCACACACAACCCAUAAAGAUCCCGUAAAGACACAUGACAUUACGAUGUGAGGUGUUUUGUUUCACUUAAGCUGGCGAACAAUCUCAGCUUCAGAAUGGAUAGUGAGGAACUAACUGAUCUCUGCUUCAUUACAGUUUGCAGAUAUUUUUUCGUCACAAACAUUGAUCUGCCUUCAAAACACCCGGCAAUUUUUUGGGACCACCGUGCAGUGUGAAAGGGGCUUUAGUCUAGCACAGUACACAUAAGUUAUUCAUUUAUUAUUAUUAUUAUUAUUUUACAAAUUAGAACAAACUGAACAGAAUAGAAUAAAACUGAAUAGAAAAGGUAAGUGCUAGUAUUA
ensembl:lncRNA